UGUAUGCAUUUGCAGAGCAUGGAAAUGAUCUGGGAAGUUCCAAGGAUGUCAAGGGGAACCCAACAGAGGUAUACAGGAGAAUGGGUUAUGGUUCAUCGUAUGGUGUUGGUGUUAAGCUGGGUUUGGUGCGAGCGGAAUAUGCUGUUGAUCAUAAUACUGGUACUGGAUCAUUGUUCUUUCGGUUUGGGGAAAGAUAUUGAAAGGCAGUCAGUUUCAUUGAUUUACUUGGUGCAUUUCGGCCAUUAGGCUUCUGGAAGAAACCAGCGGAAUUCUUGAUCAACUGAAAUUUUGUGAGAUCCAUAGAAUUAAUGUGUUUUAAGCAGCCCCCUUUUCCAAUAGGUUUUGGUUGGUCUUUUACAUCUAGUACUUUAAGACAAUGAGAAGAUUAAGAUGAUGUCUUAAUCGUCUCAUUAUUCCUUCAGAUUGCCUUUCUCUGAGCAUGUUAUUUUAUAUUUGAUUGUGCAAAACUCAGAACAAAUUUUUAUGAUCAAGUGAUUUAAUUUUCUCC
rnacentral:misc_RNA from 1 species